rnacentral:lncRNA from 1 species
UCAAGUCACAUGAGAUGCUCUCUUCAGUCCGGGGCUUGGUUGAACGGACUCACCAGGAAACGUGACUUUCGUGUCCGACCUCUGCUGUAUCAGGAUUCGAUUCUUGGUGUUAAACAAGACAACGCUGAAGGCUCGGUGCAGCAGCCCUGCAAAGGUUUUUCCAGCGCUCUUGGGAGGUGGGCUGUGCCACUGCCUGGCCCACCUGGCCCACCUGGCCCACCAUUACCUGAAGGGAAGCAUGAACAGCCUUUGACGUGGGAGUGGCGACUGCUGAGAGGGAACUGUCUGUACACAAGCAAUGUAGCCUUAUGGGACCUGAGUGGAGCCCCAACCCACGCAGGGCGUGUCUUCAUGGCUUUUCCUGGCCAAUCUGAUACCAAGAUGCAGUGGCCAGAAGUACCUGCACUUCCACUCCUGUCAAGUCUCUGCAUGGCUAUGGUGAGGAAGAGCUCUGCACUGGGCAAGGAAGUUGGCCGUCGAGUGAAGGAAAUGGUGAUGCUGGUGGCCCCUUUCCGGCAGUCAAGUUCCCUAUCAAGGACAUUCAGUUCUCGGAAAGUGGUGAAGGCACAUGCUUCCCUGCAUGGUGCCCGCCUCUCUCCACUCUCUAGAAAUAUUAGAGGCUAGGCUGCUGCUGUAUGUCAGGGCUAGUCCCUCUUCUAUGAAUCCAGAAUAACUCUGAAGAAGCCGAGUAACAGGCAUGAAGUGAAGAGAAAUCGCUGUAACAGGAAGACAGCAAAGCAGAUGCUAAUGACCACACUAUUUAACGAACUGGAACCAACGAGAAAAUACGGUAUUACUGAAGACUGCACUUCCUUGAACAGAGUGCUCUUCUCAGCAAAUCGGAAAUGCCUACACAAAUCGCUUUACAAGAAAGACUGUUUCAAAGCAGCACCUUUCUCAAUGUUCUCGUUCAGGUGACAAUUCUUCUUGGUCUCAGCUCCAAUUUUAUUGUCAUUUUCAUCAAUAAGGAUACACAUCUCUGCCAGGAGUUGAACCUGUUGCUUGUCGAGGUGGUUAGUGUUUAUUUCAGGCAUCAUUACAAAAUGUCUGAUCUGUUCUAGAACACUAAUAUUAAAGGAAAAGAGAAAGAAAGGCCAUCAU